rnacentral:tRNA from 1 species
GGUCCGGUAGCUCAACUGGAUAGAGCACCUCACUUCUAAUGAGGAUGUUGAGGGUUCGAGUCCUUCCCGGAUCGCCA